rnacentral:rRNA from 1 species
AACGAACGCUGGCGGCAUGCCUAACACAUGCAAGUCGAACGAUCCCUUCGGGGAUAGUGGCGCACGGGUGCGUAACGCGUGGGAACCUGCCCUUAGGUUCGGAAUAACUCAGAGAAAUUUGAGCUAAUACCGGAUAAUGUCUUCGGACCAAAGAUUUAUCGCCUUUGGGUGGGCCCGCGUUGGAUUAGCUAGUUGGUGGGGUAAAGGCCUACCAAGGCGACGAUCCAUAGCUGGUCUGAGAGGAUGAUCAGCCACACUGGGACUGAGACACGGCCCAGACUCCUACGGGAAGCAGCAGUGGGGAAUAUUGGACAAUGGGCGAAAGCCUGAUCCAGCAAUGCCGCGUGAGUGAUGAAGGCCUUAGGGUUGUAAAGCUCUUUUACCCGGGAUGAUAAUGACAGUACCGGGAGAAUAAGCCCCGGCUAACUCCGUG